rnacentral:rRNA from 1 species
GAUGAACGCUAGCGACAGGCUUAACACAUGCAAGUCGAGGGGCAGCAUAGAAGUAGCAAUACUUUGGUGGCGACCGGCGCACGGGUGAAUAACGCGUAUGCAACCUACCCAUCAGAGGGGGAUAACCCGGCGAAAGUCGGACUAAUACCGCAUAAAACAGGGGCACCGCAUGGUGAUAUUUGUUAAAGAUUAAUUGCUGAUAGAUGGGCAUGCGUUCCAUUAGGUAGUUGGUGAGGUAAUGGCUCACCAAGCCGACGAUGGAUAGGGGAACUGAGAGGUUGGUCCCCCACACUGGUACUGAGACACGGACCAGACUCCUACGGGAGGCAGCAGUGAGGAAUAUUGGUCAAUGGGCGAGAGCCUGAACCAGCCAAGUCGCGUGAAGGAAGAAGGAUCUAUGGUUCGUAAACUUCUUUUGCAGGGGAAUAAAGUGGAGGACGUGUCCUCUUUUGUAUGUACCCUGGGAAUAAGCAUCGGCUAACUCCGUGCCAGCAGCCACCGUAAUAC